AUUGAACGCUGGCGGCAGGCCUAACACAUGCAAGUCGAGCGGAGCGGCGGACGGGUGAGUAAUGCCUAGGAAUCUGCCUGGUAGUGGGGGAUAACGUCAGGAAACGGGCGCUAAUACCGCAUACUAUCAGAUGAGCCGAGGUCGGAUUAGCUAGUUGGUGGGGUAAAGGCCUACCAAGGCGACGAUCCGUAGCUGGUCUGCGAGGAUGAUCAGUCAGACGGGAACGGAGACACGGUCCAGAGCCCUACGGUAGGCAGUGUGGGGGAAUAUUGGACAUUUGGGGAAAGCCUGAUCCAGCCAUGCUGCGUGUGUGAAGAAGGUCUUCGGAUUGUAAAGCACUUUAAGUUGGGAGGCGUUACCAACAGAAUACGCACCGGCUAACUUCGUGCCAGCAGCCGCGGUAAUAC
rnacentral:rRNA from 1 species